GUCCCCAACGACUGUUCCAACUGCUACUGCUCCUAUUGCCUCUGUUCAUCUCUACUUCCAUUGUUACUCAUCUUCCUGGUUUUCAUGGUCUGCUUCCAUUCCACCUGGAGACUGGAUAUGUUGGUGUGGAUGAAGUUCAAUUCUUUUAUUACUUCAUAGAGUUAGAGUUUGAGGGAAAUCCACCCCAGGACCCUCUUCAUCUUUGGCUCUAUGGUUAGUUCUAUGGCCAGUUUCACAAAUGAUGGUAUGCUUGCCAAGAACUCCCUUGAUCAGCAAGAUCACAUAGAGGUUAUACACUGGAAGCUAACAAUGGUAGCAGCUCGCAUCAUUGGACACCUUCACAUAAGCUUUUUGCAGCAGCACUAAAAGUACUAAGUUCAAAAUAAGCAGCUCGAAACGUCUGAAAAAGCAUUCGCUGACAGAGAUAAAGCAUGGAGUAUAAAUCACAUUGAACUGAAUUAGUUAGAGAUCCUGCACUAAUACCAUAUACGAGUUCUCAUCUUCAUUUGUAUAUUUAAGGAUUGAUGUAAUUAACAUAAAUAUGGCAUUAGAUAGGUGAUCCAGUAACAUUAUAUUUGUUUGAGAGGUCAAUAACAUGUAGAAAUUAUUUGUGGAACAGUGACAGGUUGGUAUUCAUUAACAUUAUAUCUGUUUGAGAUGCCAGUAACAUGUAGAAAUUAUUAAACUUA